UCAUUGAAUUCUUUUAUGUAGAUUUUGCAGAAAGUCUCAGAAAUGUCAUAUUUUUAAAGCGCCAUUCAUUUGUCAAUUCGAAGUUCAUGAUGUGAGGAUCCUGAAAGUCUCCUUGUUGAAAUUCCUGAAGUGUUAUAUGAUUAUUAUGAUAGAUAAGCUACUUGGGAAAUGCAGAACUAUUUAGCUUUUUCUGCACUCUUUUAAGUUCUGACCAUAUCAUGACAAUAAUAACUGCAUUCUGUGUGGGAUACAUUCUGAGAUCAAGAUUUUAUAACAACAGCAUUUCUUUAAAGUGUUCUUUAAGUGUGACACUAUGAUUAGUCGGCUAUUUAGAAAACUUAGUAACUUAACUUCCAGGGUAGUUUUAAUUUCUCAGGAUGUAACAACACUAUAGCACUAAGACAGUUUAACUUGAUUAAUAGGGGUCUUCUAAAUCUAAAAGUUCUUAAAUCAAUUUGGUAGAUUCAUUUCCAUGAAUGUUUGGCUGAUGUCCAAGUGUAUCAAGUCAGAUGCUAAGAUAGGUUUAGGAAGCAGACUAUUCAUGAUUUCUAGUUGCUGUGCAGAAGCGUUUCAAAUAAGGGUGGACUUCAUAGUCCUAAAAAAGGUAGAUGGGAGAAGUGUGGCAACUGGAAAGGAGACUGGAUUCUGUUUGAUCAUUUCUCCAAUUAAUGGUCUAGAUAUCAUCUUUCAACUUUGUUUAUAAUUUCUUUGCUUUUGUUAUGACUUUUAUGUGCUGAAUAGGUGUCAAACUUGUUUGUGCAACUUGUUGUGGUUCUAAUAAUAUGGAGGGCACCAAUAGUCCCAUAUCGGUUGUGAGUCUAGGGGGACUCGCGCUUAUAAAGAAGGAAAAAUUAUUCCCACGUGAGGUGCCUUUUAAAAGGCAAAACCGUGAGUCCCAUAGACUAGAGCGGAUAAUACCUCACGUGAUGGGCCAAGCCCUUUUCCGCAACAAUGACGCGCCAGGUAGGAGUCGAGGUCCGCCUCGAUUUUCUGGGGUCGAGGUCCUCUUUGGCGGACUGUGGGACUCCUUGGACUAUACACAUCGGAGUCUCCCUUGACUGGAGGGCUCUGUUGUGGUUCUAAUAAUGUGAAGGGCACCAAUACUCCCACAUCGGUUGUGAGUCAAGGAGGACUCGCGCUUAUAAGGAGGAAAAAUCCUUCCCAUGUGAGGUGCCUUUUAAAGGGCAAAACCGUGAAGUCCAUGAGCCAAAACGGACAAUACCUUACAUGACGGGCCGAGCCCUUGUCUGCAACACAACUCAUUAGGUCAUGUGACAAACUUUAACAACUGAGGAUAGGUAUCAGGUGAAAAAGACCGGUCAUGUGAUAUAAAGAGGGUCUAAUUUUUGAAAUCCUAAACAAUGCUGAAUUGCUAAGUGGAGCUGGUAUAGAUGGGAAUUUUUUGGUGGGUGUGUUGUUGGGCAUCAUUUGAUUCAAUGAGGUUGAAGCACAGGGAGGUCAUUCGACGAGGCUGAAGUCAACUCGAACCUUCACUAGCUCUGGAAAAAGCCAAUUUAGGCACAGAUAUCAGUUGGAAGUAUAUUGCCGGUUGGAUCAAGAUUGCUGGAAUUUCAGAAACUUGUCCAGAUUGACAGGGCAAAAGGGCAGAGGGUUUCCCCUUUUGUUUUUCAAGUCCUGAAAGGAGUCUGGUUUGUAUUGUUUGACUUCAUGUUGAGAACCUUUAUAACUAGAAUUGGUAAACUAUAUUAUUGUUAUCUUUUAAUGAUUGUGUCAAACUUUAAUAAAAUUUAAUAAGUGUAAAAUAUGAAUUUUGAUUCAAAAUUACAAAAAAAAUGUUAAUCGCUAUGAAGUGCUUUAAACCACAAAUGACAAAAGCUGAUCAUAAUUGCCUGUUUUAAAUAUAAUGUGAUUAUAACAAUUUUCUCUGACACAAGUGAAUGAUCAUGGACCAAUCUCAACAAAAUAUUCUUUUCUGAGAGGAAGCGAGCUGAAGCCAGAAUUCAUCAAGAGAAUGAAGAUCACAACCUCCCAGAAAGUGAGGAGAUAAACAUAGAGCAAAAGAAAGGCACCAAAAGUGCCACAAGAGAAUUACUUGAGCUCCAGCUUUGAUAAAAUAGGAACCAAUUGAUUUUGUGAUAAAUGUGUGAUGCCCAAUCUUUUAGAAGAGGUAAAGAUGUGGCGAUCAACACUUCUAGUUGCUCAGAUUUAUCUGAAAAGAUUCUAGCAUCACUCCAACCACCAACACCUAUAUUGUUACAUCAUAUCUCAACGAAAUAUUCUCAAUAUAAGAUUCUA